rnacentral:lncRNA from 1 species
AUCAGACUAAUCACCAUAUUGAGAUGAACAUAAGAAUAAGAAUCGUGAGUGGUAGUGUCCAGAGAGAAGCCAAGUUUACUCGUGCAGAGUUUGGUAGAAAAGGGUAUGAAUCUGGUGGAGGUAACAUACAUUCAUCGCCAUUGAAGUAAACUUUUCUCGGAAAAGCCCAACCUUGCUUGAAAGUAAACGUCUUUUGAUCUUUCUGAAGCAAAACCUCUGACUGAACAUUCCCUGAAGGUCCCGCUUCCAUCAAAAGAUCAUUGUAAAACUUCGUGCCAUAGAACAUUCCAGUAUCAUCUGCAUAAAAAAGAUUUAACAUUUCAAUGUUUGGUUCUAAAGCUUGAAUCUUUUAUAGUGAGAGACUUACUUAUGGAUCCAUAAGGAGCAACUGAUUUGUAAUCAAAGCUGAAAACUUGAGUCACAUUGUUGAGAUUUGGGUGCUGAACUGCUAAAGUCCACAGUGUAUGGUUCAUCCUGUAGUUGAAGUUUGUGAUAGCUAUCUUUACACGCCAAUAGUCUUUGUAGUUAACUUUAACGUGCCAGUGAACUCUAACAGGGCACAUGUGGUGUGUGCAUUGUAGUAAAGGAGCGUUGUCUUUUCUCGGUGUGUUGAGACCUUUCUUUGUUAGAAUCUUAGAAUCAGCCCUGCAAGCAAAAUUAUUAAUAAUGAGUAUGAAAUUAAGUGAUUUGCGUUUUUGUUUUUGCUUACUUGACGCAGCUCUUUUUGUUCUCGCAACCACAUGCACAAGAAGGGCAAGGAGUUGUGGUGUCGUUGUAGAAAGAAGAGAAGGAGACGCAACAACUUGAAUGCUUUCUCGCUAGAAACUGUGAGUAGGUACAUGUAACAUUCCAUGUCACUGCAGAAGCAUGAGUUUGAAAUGAUGUUUAGAGAUCAAUGAUGCUUAUUAGGCAUGCGGUUCCAGUAGUCUGGGUAGUUUGGUUCGGUCAAAAUCUCACAGAAUUGAACCGAAAAAAAAUUAUUUUGAUAUUUGGGUCGUUCCGUUUUAAAAUUUUCUACCGAAACUAAUCAAAAUUUUGGGCUCCGGUUAUAUUUUGGUUUAAAGUUUGGUUAAAUUCGGCUAAUUUCCAUUAAGUUUGUUCAAAAUUUUGGUUAAUUCUGUUAGUUUGGUUCAAAACUUGGUUAAUCUUUUAUUUUGAAAAAUGGAACCAAACUUCUUUUAUAAACCUGCCAAAUAGAACCGAACUCAUAACCGGAGAAACCAGAAAUUUUGGUUCGGCGAGUUUGGUUUGGUUCAAAACCGCACGCCUAAUGCUUAUAGUUUACUCGUUUAAGUUUACUUACUCAAAGCUUGUGUCUUUCUUCGUUUGUCAGUAGUGAAAAAAACAGUAGAUGGCACGAUUUUGGCAGGACCGCAAGUGUAACCAGGCCCGGGACCAAGCAAUGUGAAGUUCUUAGGAAGGUACCUUAUAAUUAUUUCAUAGAAGUAUUAAUUAAAUAUUUCAAUGAUGCAUUAUUAAAUUUCUUUCCCUUGAUUUAAUUGUUAUAGAUCGUAGAAGAAAACAUAAUGAUACAUUGAUACGGAUGUACCUUACAGUAUCAUUUGAACAAACACCCAAUUUCUUCAAGAAGCAGCGCAAUUUAUCAAAGUUUUUGAGCUAACGAAAAGCGGAAUGUAAAUACAUUAAAAUGGGCCUAGAGUAAUGCGCUUAUUCCGGCCCAAUAUAAAACGUAAUUGUUACUAUUUAAGCUCUUUCGUUCUUUCGCAUCUUUCUCAAGUCAAUCAGUGUUUCACUUCCCACAUGAGUAAAGACAUUACACUUACACAUAUUCAUCUCUAAGACUCUAAUCAUUCUCUCUUACGUCAUAAGCAAAAAAAAACAUUCUCUUACAAAAACAUGUUUAUAAUCUUUAUCUGAAAACCGAACUGACACAGCUUCUGGUUUGGUUUCUGAAACCCACAAGGAUCAGACUAAUCACCAUAUUGAGAUGAACAUAAGAAUAAGAAUCGUGAGUGGUAGUGUCCAGAGAGAAGCCAAGUUUACUCGUGCAGAGUUUGGUAGAAAAGGGUAUGAAUCUGGUGGAGGUAACAUACAUUCAUCGCCAUUGAAGUAAACUUUUCUCGGAAAAGCCCAACCUUGCUUGAAAGUAAACGUCUUUUGAUCUUUCUGAAGCAAAACCUCUGACUGAACAUUCCCUGAAGGUCCCGCUUCCAUCAAAAGAUCAUUGUAAAACUUCGUGCCAUAGAACAUUCCAGUAUCAUCUGCAUAAAAAAGAUUUAACAUUUCAAUGUUUGGUUCUAAAGCUUGAAUCUUUUAUAGU